GACGAACGCUGGCGGCGUGCUUAACACAUGCAAGUCGAACGGAAAGGCCCUUCUUUUGUGGGGUGCUCGAGUGGCGAACGGGUGAGUAACACGUGAGUAACCUGCCCUUGACUUUGGGAUAACUUCAGGAAACUGGGGCUAAUACCGGAUAGGAGCUCCUGCUGCAUGGUGGGGGUUGGAAAGUUUCGGCGGUUGGGGAUGGACUCGCGGCUUAUCAGCUUGUUGGUGGGGUAGUGGCUUACCAAGGCUUUGACGGGUAGCCGGCCUGAGAGGGUGACCGGCCACAUUGGGACUGAGAUACGGCCCAGACUCCUACGGGAGGCAGCACUGGGGAAUAUUGCACAAUGGGCGGAAGCCUGAUGCAGCAACGACGCGUGCGGGAUGACGGCCGUCGGGUUGUAAACCGCUUUCGCCUGUGACGAAGCGUGAGUGACGGUAAUGGGUAAAGAAGCACCGGCUAACUACGUG
rnacentral:rRNA from 1 species